rnacentral:rRNA from 1 species
GCCAGACUCCUACGGGAGGCAGCAGUGGGGAAUAUUGCACAAUGGGGGAAACCCUGAUGCAGCGACGCCGCGUGAGUGAAGAAGUAUUUCGGUAUGUAAAGCUCUAUCAGCAGGGAAGAAAAUGACGGUACCUGACUAAGAAGCCCCGGCUAACUACGUGCCAGCAGCCGCGGUAAUACGUAGGGGGCAAGCGUUAUCCGGAUUUACUGGGUGUAAAGGGAGCGUAGACGGUGAUGCAAGUCAGAAGUGAAAGCCCGGGGCUCAACUCCGGGACUGCUUUUGAAACUGUGUGACUGGAGUGCAGGAGAGGUAAGCGGAAUUCCUGGUGUAGCGGUGAAAUGCGUAGAUGUCAGGAGGAACACCAGUGGCGAAGGCGGCUUACUGGACUGUAACUGACGUUGAGGCUCGAAAGCGUGGGGAGCAAACAGGAUUAGAUACCCUAGUA